AGGAAGGAGAAGUCGUAACAAGGUUACCGUAGGUGAACCUGCGAAAGGAUCAUUG
rnacentral:rRNA from 1 species